GCUACAGUAGCUCAAGUGGUUAGAGCGUUCGUCUCGGAUGCGGGAGGUCGAGGGUUCUAAUCCCGGUUGAGGCA